GCUCAUGGUAAAUUGAAUCGCGAUAAAACAUGGCAGACGAUCAAACUUCCUUAAAUGAAGGCAAGAAGAGCAGAUUCAGAAAAGAAAAACCCUGGGAUCAUGAAGGUAUAGAUCAUUGGAAGAUUGAAAAAUUUACAGAGGAGGACAAUAAGCAUUUACUCCUUGAAGAAAGUUCUUUUGCAACUUUGUUCCCAAAAUACAGAGAAAAAUAUUUACGUGAAGUAUGGCCACUUGUGGAAGCUAAAUUAAAGGAAUCGGGCAUAAAAUGUCAGUUAGAUGUUAUUGAGGGAAGCAUGAGUGUCUACACGACACGAAAAACCUGGGAUCCAUUUAUAAUCAUAAAAGCUCACGACAUGAUAAAGUUAAUGGCGAUGAGUGUUCCUUAUGAACAGGCGAUAAAACUCUGCAAAAAAUCAAGACACGCAAAUCGCAAAGUCUGGCAGAAUGGCAUCGCAGCAGACAGAAUACCAUGAAAUUAAAAAAUGUAAUCGCUGUCGUGAUUUCUACAUCACGGCUAAAUGUGGACAUACUGUCCAUCUGUCCCCGUUAAUGGAGUCACGGGGAAAAUUCAAGUGCAAAAUUUGCGGUGUAUCGGACGCAGGUGUCGAUGCCGCUGUACGUCAAUUUGUGAUAAAACUGUGUACCGAGGGCAUCAUGACGUUGAACAUUGACAACGAAGAUUUAAUGUAACAAUAUAAAUAAAAAUUUACAAAUGUUGAA